CAUGUCAGCUCGUGGAUCGUGGGAAAGGGCCUGCCCGUGGAUUGUGAACACUAGGGCUCUGGCUCUUGGCUGAGGGAGCGAGGGCGCGGCGGCAGCGGUGCUCGUAUCCAAGAUCCACGGCUCCGCACUGUCGGUCCCCAGCUGGCCUCGAAGAUCCAGUGAGGAGGGUGAAGGAGGCCAUGCUCGGGUUCGUCUCCGGCAAGGGCGGCUUCCUAGGCGAGGCGGCUUCGACCCUGUCUACAAGGGCUUCAUCGGCGAUGGCUUCAAGAAGGGGCUCAAGCCGCAGGCCAUCGCCGUCUUCCUCCACGGCCACGUCUUCUUGCUAGCAGCGUCGCCAUCUCCUCUUCCUCUCUGCCCACACCAACUCAUCGAUUCAGAGCAAGAGGCUCCAAGGUCAAUACUCAAUGCUGCUAGAAAGGCAUAAGAUCUUAUUGGAUUUAUCAUGCUAUUUUAUCCUGCAUCUUCAUAAGUUACCUACCUAUUGGAUUUUGAGAAUAAGCCUUGUCAGUUUCGUUUAUUUGUUGCUUUGAAAAUCUUCCAAACAAGAUUCAAUAGGUCUCUUAUGUAAAGACUUGCACCUGUGUAUUUAUUUUCAGUUUGUUUGAGAGUAUACGGUGAAGAUUCAAAUAUGUUUGUAUGUUUAUGUAAUGAACAUGCAUGUGAAUUCAUACCAGUUCAAAAGUCAA